rnacentral:rRNA from 1 species
GAGUUUGAUCCUGGCUCAGGAUGAACGCUGGCGGCGUGCUUAACACAUGCAAGUCGAGCGAAAAUAAUUGAGAGCUUGCUUUUGAUUAUUUUAGCGGCGGACGGGUGAGUAACGUGUGGGUAACCUGCCUUUUACUGUGGAAUAAUCGUUGGAAACGACGACUAAUACCGCAUACGGUUCUUGGAAGGCAUCUUCUAAGAAAGAAAGGAUUUAUUCGGUAAAAGAUGGGCCCGCAUCUGAUUAGCUAGUUGGUGAGAUAAUAGCCCACCAAGGCAACGAUCAGUAGCCGACCUGAGAGGGUGACCGGCCACAUUGGGACUGAGACACGGCCCAAACUCCUACGGGAGGCAGCAGUGGGGAAUAUUGCACAAUGGGCGAAAGCCUGAUGCAGCAACGCCGCGUGAAGGAAGACGGUUUUCGGAUUGUAAACUUCUAUCAAUAGGGAAGAAAGAAAUGACGGUACCUAAAUAAGAAGCCCCGGCUAACUACGUGCCAGCAGCCGCGGUAAUACGUAGGGGGCAAGCGUUAUCCGGAAUUACUGGGUGUAAAGGGAGAGUAGGCGGCAAGGUAAGCGAUAUGUGAAAGCCUUAGGCUUAACCAAAGGAUUGCAUAACGAACUAUCUAGCUAGAGUACAGGAGAGGAAAGCGGAAUUCCUAGUGUAGCGGUGAAAUGCGUAGAUAUUAGGAAGAACACCAGUGGCGAAGGCGGCUUUCUGGACUGAAACUGACGCUGAGGCUCGAAAGCGUGGGGAGCGAACAGGAUUAGAUACCCUGGUAGUCCACGCUGUAAACGAUGAGUGCUAGGUGUCGGGGAGGAAUUCCCGGUGCCGGAGCAAACGCAAUAAGCACUCCACCUGGGGAGUACGACCGCAAGGUUGAAACUCAAAGGAAUUGACGG